rnacentral:rRNA from 1 species
GCACGGAGCUUGCUCUGGUGGCGAGUGGCGAACGGGUGAGUAAUAUAUCGGAACGUACCCAGGAGUGGGGGAUAACGUAGCGAAAGUUACGCUAAUACCGCAUACGUCCUAAGGGAGAAAGUGGGGGAUUCGCAAGAACCUCAUGCUCAUGGAGCGGCCGAUAUCUGAUUAGCUAGUUGGUAGGGUAAAAGCCUACCAAGGCAACGAUCAGUAGCUGGUCUGAGAGGACGACCAGCCACACUGGAACUGAGACACGGUCCAGAC